AGCAGCCGCGGUAAUUCCAGCUCCAAUAGCGUAUAUUAAAGUUGUUGCAGUUAAAAAGCUCGUAGUUGAAUUUCGGGAUCAAGGAAUCGGUCAUGCCUCGGUAUGUACUGGUUUUAUUGGUUCUCACCUUCUAAAGAACCAUGAUGUCAUUCAUUUGAUGUUAUGGGGAAUUAGGACUGUUACCUUGAAAAAUUAGAGUGUUUAAAGCAGGCUUACGCUUGAAUACAUUAGCAUGGAAUAAUGAAAUAGGACAUCAGAUUCUAUUUUGUUGGUUUCUAGGAUCGAUGUAAUGAUUAAUAGGGAUAGUUGGGGGCAUUAGUAUUCAAUUGUCAGAGGUGAAAUUCUUGGAUUUAUUGAAGACUAACUACUGCGAAAGCAUUUGCCAAGGAUGUUUUCAUUAAUCAAGAACGAAAGUUAGGGGAUCGAAGACGAUCAGAUACCGUCGUAGUCUUAACCAUAAACUAUGCCGAC
rnacentral:rRNA from 1 species